rnacentral:other from 1 species
AUUCCUGAAAUGUUCGACACUCUUACCUUUUUUGAACCUACAUUAUGACAUCAGGGAUUCCUAUAUUUGUAAGCGGAUGUCAGGCCUCCUCUGAGUGGAAGGCAGAAGCUUAUAUGCGGUUGCCCACCUAGCGUUGCUAGGCGUCAAUAAGUAAGAACCGGCAUUUUGGGGUU